CAUGUUUCAUGUUACAGAUGUUCUCCUGCUCAGAGGUUCGUGGUGGCACCCUUCUUCAUGGGACUUUGUUUCCCUUUGCAAAAGCCUGAGUGUCAUUCCAUUGCAUUAAUGGAUACUUAACAUGGUACCAAGUAUUUUUUGGAGCAGACUUGGACAACUCCUGCUUUUCCAGAAGCAUUCUUCCCAUCUUAUCCCCAGACAGGCAGCUCACACUGCACAGCCCCAACCCUUGCAAGAUGUUUUCCCAGUUUAUCAACUUUUCCCCUUUAGUUUCUGAGUGCAUGAGCUCCUCAACUCCUUCUGAUAUUGCCAGUCUUAGUUCAGGCCUUGGACCUUCCACCUGAAGUAAAACAUGGCAUUUUUCCACCUAAAAUGAAGAGCUGUCUGCAAAGGACCUGUCUGAAUGCCACAGCCAAUGCAGCUUUCCACACAUGGCACAGAGAUGGAAGCACAACCAGGAGAAGGGAGAAAUCCAGCAUUUGGAAGACUGCACCUUUGUCUGAGUAUAUAAAUAAAGCAGGAGUUUAUCAUAAUUUAUUUAUAAAAACUAUUUCUAAUCUAAUUCUUCACAUAUUAUCUGGGGGCAAGAGAGAUGAGACAAAAAAAAUGGCUCUUAAUCAGGAGUUGCCACAUGGAGGGGUUUUGAUUAAUAUGCAAAACAUAGAUUAUAAAUAGAUUUAUAAAUAAAUGAUCAACUACGGCUGCUGCUUUAUUUAUCUAUGGACUUGCAGGAAAUUUGAAGGCUGAAUUCUGAUUAAAUGAGAAUCGCCACUAAUGGCGCACUGGAUGGCUCAAAGGGGCCAGUAAAGCAAAGUGAGAAUGCAUUUGCAUAGCACCUUUGAUUCGUAAGAACUCCCAAAUGCUUUGCAGAAUUAAUAUUAUGUUUUAGGGGUCACUUCAUCCAUUACUGAAAUACAGCCUCGGAGGAGGAAAGGUAACUGUCUGCAUGUAUUCCCUCAAAGAUCUCAAAGCACUUUGCACAUUAAUUAAGCCUUACAUUGUUUCUAUGCAAUCCAUCCCUCCAGCAAAUUGCUAAGCCUGUGCUACCUGAAGUACUGGGAAUAAAACCAAGGAAAAUUCAACAGCUCUUCCUUGGUCUGACUUCUCUUUACAUCCAGAUCAUCCCGCGGAUGUCAGCGGGCACCUCAAGGUGUUCCCACCUGAGUGGCAAUGCAGAUCCCAAAGCACUACAUUCAAACAGCGCAGGGAUUAGACCCCUUCUGCUCACUGUUAGCCCGACCCAAAUUUCACAACCAGUAGCAGUGUAUGACCCUGCUGCAGCCAACCCUCAACCCCAACAUUGGCAGCUCUGAACUAGGAGGCCCCAUUGCCAGUUCCCGGAUCCCUCCUGCCACAGAGGCACGCACAUCGCCGUGAGGCUGAAGCUCAGCAUGGCACCAGAUGCCUCGUUCCAUCCAACAGCACUCAGAGGGCACAGGAGAAGCACAUACCUGCUGAAUGUGCCCGCGACUCGAUUCAGCUGCUCCCAUUUACAAAGCCUCUUAAAAAGAAGAAAGUCAAAGCUUUUUUUUUUUUUUUUUCACAUGGCAAAGCUGUCCUGCCAGUCAGUUUUCACAGCUGAGCACUUCCCAAGGUGCCAGUUCUGCGAUUCAGGGCUGGAUGUGAUCCCCUGAGCAUGAUGUGGAGCUGUAGGAUGAAGGCACAAUGAACAGCCCCAGCUGUGCAGGUACACACGGAUCAGCAUGGCUGUACCUCCCUUCUUCUCCCAUCUUGUGCUGGGGGAGGGUUCCUAUGGCAGGGGAAGAUGUGGGAGCUCAUAGACAUUGCUGGGGGCUCGGCCAUGUAUAGGUCACACCUCACCCAAAUGUGAGCCUGUACUUAUUGGGUCCAACUGAAUUACCUGUUACGUGGCAGGUUUGGGAGAUUCUUCUUCCAUCCCUUAUUUUUGUCCAUCUCAUUCCUGAUUUCUUCAUCACAACAACCAGGAGAAAAAAAAACCAACACUUUUCCCCUAAUAAACCAAGCCAACCUCCAAGCUUACCCCUCUCCCACUUCCCUCUCCACGUUUCCAAAUGUCCCUACAAAGGGAUUUCAUUCCAAACCACUCUGAUUAUUGACCAUUUCCAUGCUGAGCCCAGAUUCUUCUUCCAAAGUUGGACUCCACAUGGAAGAAACCACAUGCUGACAGCACCCUGCUUCCUCUCCACCCAGCAAGUUAGCAACAUGGACACUCUAUGGCCUAAACACAAAGAAUUUUACCACAGCAAUAAUAGUCUGUCUGGGAAGGAUGUUACAAGUCACUGCCCAAUUAGAAGAACGUUGAAUGCACGGAAAUGCCUUUUGAAUAAACACUUGAUAACCCUCAAUAAAACUGUAAGAGAGAGUUACUGCAGAUUUACUACCCAGGAAAGAAAAGCCCUUCACGGCACCACUAGGAGCUUAUUGCUUUUGUUUAAUGCUGAUAAAUGCAAGAGAUUCACAGUUCCACAGCAGCCUGGGGUAGACCAGCUUAGCAGGAAAAUAAAAUUGAGGUCUUAUGAUCUGCCUACAGAGAGAUGGAGGAGAACCACAUUGCCACCACAUCUUCCAGUUGCAUGUUCCGCAUAGUACUGCACACACCAUGGGACACAUCAAUCCUCAGGAAGCCAGCAGACACACAGCUGGUGCAGAUGGGUUUGUCCCAGGCCCUGCCAGAGCAUGGUGAGCCUGUGUGGGUGGGAGCACCAUGGGUGGGAUCCCCCCCCCCUUGGUUUCUGUAUAUAGGUGUUCUUCUCCAGAAAGUGCAGCUGUGGCACAUCUGCAGCAGUGACAAGCCCUCUCCUUCUGCUGCCUCACCUGAAGAAAAGGAGCACCAUGAAAGGAGCCCAGUGACCAGCCCUACUGCUUCUGCUGUGGGGAUGCUCAAGCAACAUUUGGAUUUUCUAAAAAAAUGUGGCUGGUGAGGAGGAAGGAAGGGGUUGGCUCUAUUUAUGCUAACCCAUGUUUCCCAGCUCCCCAGGCAGCGGUCCUUCCUGCACCAGCCCAAUGGGGAUAUUCACAGCCCCAGGGAGGACACCACUGCACAUUUGUUCCACAAAUGAACCUUGACAUAAAGGUCUUACCCUUGCUGAUGAGCACUGAUGUACUGUUCACUGUAUUCACAGUUCUUGGUGAUAGGGAAAUAUUUACAGGGUAAUUUUUUCCCCUUCCUUAAGAAAGGAACAGUGGGGAACAGCCCAGUGCUCAAAAAAUAAACACCCAAUCAAAAUCAUUACUGCUUAUCAUCUUGACCUAAACAUAUUUCCUCCUUAGUGACCCAGUAUGUGUGUCUGACCCUCUGGGGGACACCCAGAGCUGGGUUGCAAGCCAUGCCCUGCAGAACCAUUGCCAUCCUUGGCAGGACAAGGGGCAUGCUGCCAUUUCCAAGGCAGUCACUGAGAUGGCACUGCAUGGACAGAGUGCCACAGAACCCCACAGUACACUUCUGGGUACUAAUUUGCUCUAAAGCGCAAAUUUCUUUUCAUUGGGCAUUUAAGCACAGGCAUUUGUUGGCCUCCAACAAAUAGCUCAUUAAAGCAAGAGAUCUAAACGAAAUCACUUACAUAUUCAACCUGCACACUUGAGAGGUCAGAAGCCCUACAUGAUGUGUCCCAUGUACCUGUUGCAUGGCAGCAGAAUGACUCCCGUGUUGCACUUCCAGACCAGGGCUGGUUCUUUUCCAAGAAAGGGUCUGGGAUUGGGCCAACAAAGGGCAGCCUCCAUGGUCCAGCAACUUGUAUAUAACAGAGCCUACCUGGCCUCUUCAGCUGAUGGCAGUUCUUCCUACGGCAUGAAUGACAGCAGCUGAUGUUUGGGUUUUUUCAGCAGUUUGGAGUUGAGCGAGCAUCAGGUGGCUUUCAAAUGUUGGGGUGCCAAGAACAGAAGAAUGUUCUAAACCAAAACUACAACUAAGGAACAAAAUCUCUCAAUAAUGAGUCCAAUGGUGUUGGAUUGUACAAAUUAUCUAGUGGUCAUUUUCUGCCUCUUUAACAAUGAGGUGAACUUUGCUUACCUCCUACGUAAAUGUGAGAGGGAUGCUUAUCAGAAGAGGCUUAAUAGCUCCUGUAUCCCCUUAGCAAUCUACAUUUUGGAAAACACCUUCAAAAUAUAGGUCCAAUUUUGUGUAAAAAAUGAAGCCACUUACACAUUCCUAGCAGGCUUCUGCAGCUCUUCACACUAAUUCAGUAAGAACAGUACAUGAAUUACCUACCACGUUGGUGUGUGAUCAGGCUGUGUGUGCUCUUACAGCAACACUAUGUCCUUUUACUCCAUCUCCUGCAUCAGUAAAUAAAAAGGAGUAAAGUCUGCUUUAUGUGAUAUCAGAUAAAUUGUCUUGUUGAGAUCUGAAAACAGGAAAUAUUCAGACACCAAACUGCCAUGAAAGCAAAGGCUGUCAGAGGACGAUCUUCUGAUCCUGACAUUUAGGCUGGAAUUGGUUAAAAAGCAGGAAUAAGACCAUACAAAAUACAAAACUUCUGUUUUCACAAAAACAAACACACACAUCCAACCUGAAUCUGCAAUGCUUUCAGUUAAUAAUAUAAAAUAACCCUCUAGGCUCCCACUAUUAUUUCUUGUCCAAACAUAAUAUUAAAUGUGAUCCAAAAUUGUAGUAAUUAAAGGAACAAUGUCAAAUUUAAUUAUUAUCGGACCUCCCAAUUUCAAAUAAUAGUAUAAAAAUUCUGGCACUGGUUUUAAUUUUUAUUAUUAUUAUUAUUUUGUGAAUGCUGAAUAUGGUUCAUAUCUCACAAAUAGGAGGGGAGUCAACUCUUUACAAGGGUAGAUAAUGCCAGGAUAAGGGGAGAUGGUUUUAAUUUGAAGGAGGGAAGAUUUAGGUUGGGUAGCGGGGGGAAGUUCUUUACUAUGAGAGUGGUGAGGUGCUGGAACAGCUGCCCAGAGAGGCUGCAUAUGCCCCGUCCAUCCCUGGAGGUGUUCAAGGCCAGGUUGGAUGGGGCCCUGGGCAGCCUGGGCUGGUAUUAAAUGUGGAGGUUGGUGGCCGUGUGUGCAGCAAGGGGGUUGCAGCUUCAUGAUCCUUGAGGUCCCUUCCAACCCAAGCCAUUCUAUGAUUCAAUCAUUCUCUUCUUUCCCUUCACUGAGUGCAGUAAAGUGACUGCUGUCCUGGCUCUUGGCUCUUGCCCCGAUUCCCCUCAUCUAGAAGCAUUUUUCUUUAACUGCUUCAUUUCUCUCAAUGCCAAGCGAGGUUUUGAAGCAUAGAGGAAGUUUUGAAAAGAUACUGAUGAAAGAACAAAGUGUAAAAUGGGGCAGAAAAAUGAAGUAACACCUGCACAAUGCUAUUUCAGUUGAAGGGGAAAAUAUUUGGAAAAUAAGAAGAGAAAGCUUGUAAGCCCUGCUUGUGGAGUCCUUUGUCGUUUUGCAGAAUUCUGUCUAGAAGAGCAAAAAAGGAACACACUCUGGAGAUACGAUGCAAUUUUGGUUUAGAGAUAUGAAAUCAUUUUUGUUGCAGAGCAAAUUUUCUAAUUUAAAAUACUGAAAAACGUCAGAGCCAGAACUGGUUGGGAACUGCAGUUUGAAAUUCUUUCUGCAGUACAGUUUGCUUCGUUUUGACCGAAGCAGCAAAUGUUGCAGCAGACUCUCACUCAGCCUCAGUCUCUCAUUUUGCUGUCUGUGCUUUAACCCUUUCUGAAUCCAUGAUCCUGACUGAAUCUUCUGCUUGCGAAAGUGGGGCAGAGAUGAAGAAAAGAAAAAAGGAUUCAUCAGGAUGAUAAAAGCUCGAGAAGGACCAGAUUCCCUGAUUGAAGGUGGAUGCAGAUUUAGGAAGUUAUCGCCCAAGAGGCUUUCAAUUGCUGAGGUGCUUCCUCAUCAGAUCUCCACCACAUUCUGCUAUUUCUACAUUCACGUUGCAAAAGAUGCAGUUUACAGUGAGCAAGUUUUUAUUUCUCAUGACUUUUACCUUCAAAGAUAAAGACUCAUCCCAGAAAAGUCAGACAAAAACAAGCAAAAGGAUACAAGCUCUGCUCCAAGGCAAUACUAUUCUGCACACCCAAGGAAGUUACUUUUUCCUUCCACUUAUUUAUUCCCCAAAAAAGCUGCAGUAGAUGCUGCCACGUUUGGAAGUACACAGACAUUUGCUCUCACUGCUGGUCAAUGAAUGCUGCAGCUUUGCAGUGGACCAACACACAUCACCUAUGUCAGGAACACAUAUCCAUCCCAGCACUCACGCACGCAUUAAUACAGCAUCUUGAACAACAGUGUAGGAUCCCUGUGCUGCAGGAGGGCAAUAUUAGCUGCCCAAAGAGACAGAAUGAGAGAAAAAAUAGCAGCUUUUCUCAGCUCGUAGGCUGGGCAAUGGGGAAGAGGUUUGGUCUCACACACAAGGUCUUCAGGAGCGCUGUGGCAAAGCUGAGAGUGGGCCUCCUGUUGGCAAAUCACACUGCAAGCCUUAAUUGCAAAACUGUCUAUUUUAGGAUAGUAUACAGAUUUUAUUUGAUGAGCCAAAUUCUGACAGUUCGUUCUUCAUCAGCGGAGUUCCUGCUCUAAAUUACAAAGUGCGAUGGCACUCAAGGUAAAGCAGUACGAUAGUAACCAUGGAUGGUUUGAAGGUCCUGUCUCACAAAGUCUAUUGGAAAUUUAGCACAUAGGGCAAGGAGAAAAAAAAGCUGCAUCUGUAGGAAUCAUUUUGAGCUGACACAAUGCACUGUUGUGGCUUUUUCCCUUCGCAGCUUGCGUACAGCAGUUCAGCUCGUUCUGUUUUCCCUACCAGCUGCUCUAUGAACACUGCCCCUGUCAGCGGGAAGUUACAAAGAAAUGAAUGAAGACUGAUGAUUAACGAAGAAAGAGGGUGAAUAUUAAUCAUGGAGUCAACAUUUGAUGGGAGCACUGAUGGAAUAGUGGUCCCACUGGAAGUUGUUAGGAGUUGAUUUUUAUGCCCCUGGGCAGUAGCUUUAAACCACGACUCAUGAUGGAAGAGAGGUAGCUCAUAAUGUUUUAAACAGGCCAUGGUGGAAAACAUACCUUCUCCCUCCCCUCCCCAGCUCCUCUCUUUGUUGUGCUACAAUGAGAACAGAGGUCCACCGUGCAUCCUACAUUCGCCCAGAACACCCAAACUGUACAGAUCAAACCUUUAAGCAGGCUCAAACAAGGACAGGACGUUUCCAUUUUUCCUUGCUAUCACACCAGUAGUCUGUGACAACACACUUCCAUGGCUAAAUAACUGAAGUAUGAAUUUUGGCUUUUUGCAACCUGAUCCAAACCUCUUUGAAGGCAAUAGGAGUCACAGCUCCACUACAGAGCAAAGCUCUCCUAACCUUGGCUGGAAUUUCCUGUACCACACGAAUUAAUGAGCGUACUUGCAAUCAAUACUGUAUAUGAAGUGCACAGCUGAUACUCUUUCUUUGAUACUAUACAAAAUCAUUCAUUAUACCAGAUCAUUCAUUUUUCUGAUGAAAAAAACAACUUGCAGAUGCUGCCUUCAGGCAAGCUUCAUCCAUGUCCCAGACCCAACCACUAGAAUCCUGAUGCAAAAUGAAGAUAUCAAAUACUGUACUGAUACUGCAGAUUUACUGCACACAUCAAAUUAAUUGGACAGUCAGAAAAGACUUGCAAAGUCACUCGAGUAUGGCUGCAG
ensembl:lncRNA